CAUAUUAUAGCCAAUGGCUUUUAUAAAUUUUGCUGAUAAAAAUAUCUCUUUGCACCAUCAAUGCAGGGAUUUAUUACUGUUCUUUAUUUUCAAACUAGGUACUAAAAUCAAUUUUCUGAUUGUGGUGGAGAUAGCCUACAAACUUUUUAUUAAAAUGUUGCUGUGAUGAAAUUCAAUCAAUUUAUUAUUUGUCACAGGCUAAACAACAGUUAGCAUUGACAAUAGUCAUAUACAUUAAAAACAUGAAAAUUUUAACUUCCAUUUACAAAGUUGGACUUUAAGAAGUAAUAAAUAAUAUAUCAGUUACAUAAUUAUACAGUUAGAAUGAUUUGAAAAAUUGCUUUGGUUAAUGAGUUACUUUGUGUUACCUAAAUUUAAUUAUUAUUCUUUAACUGUAUAUUAUAUCAUGGUCAAUCUUAUUUUAAGAAUACAUACAAGAUGUAUCUGGCAUAGGCUACAUAGAAUUAAAUAAUUGAGUUUAAAGAUUGUCUGUGUCAUGAUUGUGUGUCUGUGUCAUUAUUGUAAUGUAAGGCCUAUUGAAACAGUGUUGAGACACAGCUCAAGAAAUUUUAGAAUUGUAUAGAAGCAAAAAAUUAAAAUGUUUUUUUUUUCAGGUCCACCUUGUAUGAUGUUUUGAGGAAAGCAUUUGCCAAUCAUAUCAAACGUCUACCUUGUAUGAUGUGACUAUCUUCUUAUUCAAUAUUUGUGGUUUUGAGGAAAGCAUUUGCCCAUCAUAUCAAUUAUCAUGUUACUGAGGACAGUGGAUAAAAUUGAUAUGGUGUUUUGUUACCAUGCUAUGGAGGGUAAUGGUGGAUGAGUGAGGGAUGACACUAACAGGACAAUAAGAAUCGCUUGAGAGAACUGAAAUGCAUUCUAAGCUAGUAUUUCAUCUUAGCCAAGUAUUCAAGUUUAUGAACUACUGUCUGUAAGACAGGCAUCACGAUGUAAGCAAAUACAGUUGUAGAAAUAAUAUUAUAUCUUUGAUAAAUAAAAUUAAUUUGAAU